rnacentral:rRNA from 1 species
GCGGAGGAAAAGAAAAUAACAAUGAUUUCCCUAGUAACGGCGAGUGAAGAGGAAAGAGCUCAAAGUUGGAAUCCGGCUGCCCUAGGUAGUUGGAAUUGUAAACUGGAGAGGUGUUUUCCAGGCGAGCCAAGCAAAUAAGUCCUUUGGAACAGGGCAUCAUAGAGGGUGAGAAUCCCGUCUUUGGCUUGAGCAUUGCCUUUUGCGAUACACUUUCAAAGAGUCAGGUUGUUUGGGAAUGCAGCCUAAAUUGGGUGGUAAAUCUCACCUAAAGCUAAAUAUUGGCGAGAGACCGAUAGCGAACAAGUACCGUGAGGGAAAGAUGAAAAGAACUUUGAAAAGAGAGUUAAACAGUAUGUGAAAUUGUUGAAAGGGAACCGUUUGGAGCCAGACCGGCUGUUCUAUAAUCAAUCUCUGCUUCGGUAGGGAUGCACUUGUAGGACUUUAGCCUGCCAACAGCAAUUUUCUUUGGUGGAAAAAACUAGGAGGAAUGUGGCCCUUCGGGGUGUUAUAGCCUCUUAGAAAAUACACUGAAGGGGAUUGAGGACUGCAGCAAAUGCUUUUGGCGAAAUAACUGGGUGCUUGUGUUAAGGAAGUAUAGAAUUUCUGCUUCGGGUGGUGCUAUGCUCUAAGAUGCAACUCGCUUAGACUAUUUUCUAUUUGCUUAGGUUGUUGGCUUAAUGACUCUAAAUGAC